rnacentral:rRNA from 1 species
UACGAAGGGGGCGAGCGUUAUUCGGAAUUACUGGGCGUAAAGGGCGCGUAGGCGGCGACCCAAGUCAGAUGUGAAAGUCCUGGGCUUAACCUGGGGACUGCAUUUGAUACUGGGUUGCUUGAAUUCGGGAGAGGAUAGGCGGAAUUCCCAGUGUAGAGGUGAAAUUCGUAGAUAUUGGGAGGAACACCAGUGGCGAAGGCGGCUCACUGGCCCGAGUACUGACGCUGAGGCACGAAAGCGUGGGGAGCAAACAGG